UACGAAGGGUGCAAGCGUUACUCGGAAUUACUGGGCGUAAAGCGUGCGUAGGUGGUUCGUUAAGUCUGAUGUGAAAGCCCUGGGCUCAACCUGGGAAUGGCAUUGGAUACUGGCGGACUGGAGUGCGGUAGAGGAUGGCGGAAUUCCCGGUGUAGCAGUGAAAUGCGUAGAUAUUGGGAGGAACACCAGUGGCGAAGGCGGCUCACUGGACCGGAACUGACGCUGAGGCGCGAAAGCGUGGGGAGCAAACAGG
rnacentral:rRNA from 1 species